CCGAGGAAUCUCGGAUUAUGUAAAAGACUGCGAAUGACGAAACUAUCAGCGACAUAGACUGUGCUCAGUGCUAUUUUGGAAAUCCGACAAGAUGCUGUUAUGAAGUCAUCUUGUGGAAGAAAAAAAAAAGUCCACAAAAACAAGACAACAGAACAAUGCUUACAGAACAAUGCUUACCUGUGGCGAAGCACAUUGCCACUAACAGAGCUACCGCUAGAGAUCCCUCCAUUUCUGAAAAGAAUGUACAAAACUUUCACCAAAGACAGCGCAAUGAAUACAACUGAAGGUCGUUUGAAAGUUUUGUCCUCAGGCUACGUAUGUUCAAACCCAAACCGAGGCAAUCUGACAACCUAAAUUAUUGUAAUAUGUCAGAAUAUAAAACAGGAGCUACAUUACGGACUUGCCUGAUCUCAAGCUCAUCCCCCAAAGUGCAACCUAAAACCCUUUCCACUGCUUCUUUGGUAUCCUUUUCAACGUCAUCACUUUUACUGAAAUAAUAACAGUGAAUGAAAGGCAUA